rnacentral:rRNA from 1 species
UACGUAGGGGGCGAGCGUUGUCCGGAUUUAUUGGGCGUAAAGAGCGUGUAGGCGGCCAGGUAGGUCUGCUGUGAAAACUCGAGGCUCAACCUCGAGACGUCGGCGGAAACCAUCUGGCUAGAGUCCGGAAGAGGAGAGUGGAAUUCCUGGUGUAGCGGUGAAAUGCGCAUAUAUCAGGAGGAACACCGGUGGCGAAGGCGGUUCUCUGGGCCGAUACUGACGCUGAGGAGCGAAAGCGUGGGGAGCGAACAGG